UACAGAGGGUGCAAGCGUUAAUCGGAAUUAUUGGGCGUAAAGAGCUCGUAGGCGGUUUGUCGCGUCGGCUGUGAAAACUCGGGGCUCAACCCCGAGCCUGCAGUCGAUACGGGCAAACUAGAGUGCUGUAGGGGAGACUGGAAUUCCUGGUGUAGCGGUGAAAUGCGCAGAUAUCAGGAGGAACACCAAUAGCGAAGGCAGCUCGCUGGGACGUUACUGACACUGAGGCGCGAAAGCGUGGGGAGCGAACAGG
rnacentral:rRNA from 1 species